rnacentral:rRNA from 1 species
UACGGAGGGGGCUAGCGUUGUUCGGAAUUACUGGGCGUAAAGGGCGCGUAGGCGGCCACCGCAAGUCAGUUGUGAAAUCUCUGGGCUUAACCCAGAACGGUCAGCUGAUACUGCGGGGCUAGAGUGCAGAAGGGGCAACUGGAAUUCUCGGUGUAGCGGUGAAAUGCGUAGAUAUCGAGAGGAACACCUGCGGCGAAGGCGGGUUGCUGGGCUGACACUGACGCUGACAGCGCGAAAGCUAGGGGAGCGAACGGG